GAUGAACGCUGGCGGCGUGCCUAAUACAUGCAAGUCGAGCGAACAGACGAGAGUGCUUGCACUCUCUGACGUUAGCGGCGGACGGGUGAGUAACACGUGGGUAACCUACCUAUAAGACUGGGAUAACUUCGGGAAACCGGAGCUAAUACCGGAUAAUAUUUAGCUUCGCAUGAAGCAAUAGUGAAAGACGGUUCUGCUGUCACUUAUAGAUGGACCCGCGGUGUAUUAGCUAGUUGGUGAGGUAACGGCUCACCAAGGCAACGAUACAUAGCCGACCUGAGAGGGUGAUCGGCCACACUGGGACUGAGACACGGCCCAGACUCCUACGGGAGGCAGCAGUAGGGAAUCUUCCGCAAUGGACGAAAGUCUGACGGAGCAAUGCCGCGUGAGUGAAGAAGGUCUUCGGAUCGUAAAACUCUGUUGUAAGGGAAGAACAAGUACGUUAGUAACUGAACGUACCUUGACGGUACCUUACCAGAAAGCCACGGCUAACUACGUG
rnacentral:rRNA from 1 species